GACGAACGCUGGCGGCGUGCUUAACACAUGCAAGUCGAACGAUGAACCAGGGCUUGCCCUGGGGAUUAGUGGCGAACGGGUGAGUAACACGUGGGCAACCUGCCCCAGACACCGGGAUAACCUCUCGAAAGAGUGGCUAAUACCGGAUACGACCACUUUGGGCAUCCAACGGUGGUGGAAAGGAUUCUGGUCUGGGAUGGGCCCGCGGCCUAUCAGCUUGUUGGUGGGGUAAUGGCCUACCAAGGCGACGACGGGUAGCCGGCCUGAGAGGGCGACCGGCCACACUGGGACUGAGACACGGCCCAGACUCCUACGGGAGGCAGCAGUGGGGAAUAUUGCGCAAUGGGCGAAAGCCUGACGCAGCGACGCCGCGUGAGGGACGAAGGUCUUCGGAUUGUAAACCUCUUUCGGCAGGGACGAAGCGAAAGUGACUGUACCUGCAGAAGAAGCACCGGCUAACUACGUGCCAGCCGCCGCGGUAAUAC
rnacentral:rRNA from 1 species